GAGCAGAAAUUCCUUUCGACCCGGGCUGAUUAGCUUUGACCUUUUUAUCGCUGUUUUUUUCUUCGUCCUUUCCGUAAUUCUCUAGUGCCCGACCUGUUUGGGUUAUCCUUGUACUCUGUUUCCUCUCCUGAUCAUAAAUUUGGUAGAGUAACUACCAACAUUCAAAAAAAGAAAACUCAUGGAAGGGUCCAAACCAUGGUUCCUAGCCCAUGAGAAGUGCCAUCGUUUUUUUUUUAUCACUUUUGUUUUUGGUUGGCAUUCCUCCAUUCACCCGUGCCUUCUCCUCAUGGCCUCAUCGUACGCUCGCAUCAAUUCUUUCUCUUCUUCCAUCAGCGCCAUGCCCAUCCUUUCCCAUGAUUUUAUCCUCCAAACCUCAGAUCCAGCGUCUUCGUCUCAUGCCCCGAUCCAGCCGACCGUCGUGCUCUUUUGACAUUGUCCCAGCCCGUCGUGUUCCGCCAUCCAUGAUUUGAGUGGUGUCCCUGCCCUCCUCACCACGGCCACGGAGUCGCGGUGGCAGAGCUCAACAAGCUCCAGCGCCCUCACCACGCCGACCCCUCCAGCUCCUCCUCUUCACCAUGGCGUUGGUCGGGGUCCCUCGCCCUGCUUCAGCGACUGGCUACGGCCGUUGGAUCUGCUUGGCGUGGCACUUCUCCUCCUCCUAGCAACUAUGGCGCUGUUCUCUUGGGCGUACUCCAUCACGGGGCAGUCGGCUAGGAUCUGCCCAAGGAUAAAGAGCACGCAGUUCAGCAUGUUGUCAGGCAACGAGAUAUUCCAGUCCGCGGGGGCGCAGGUCUGGAACAACCGGAUCUACUGGCCUGGCAUGAAGCCGGCGCAAAGGAUUGCUCGACACGCGGAUGGUAAUCUCUCGAUUCGUCCUCAUUGAUCAAUUCAUGGAUUCAUGUGUGCAUUUGCCCGAACAAUAUUAGCUAGCCAGGCACGCCACUGUGUUUGUGCAAUGCAUUGUAUUAUCGAUCUACUACGACAAAUUCUAGGGAGCUGCAAACAAACACGGGGAGUGUGGUACCUGCCAUGGUUCAUACACCGAGGGUCCAGGCCAUUUUGGUUACCUGAAGCAUGCACUACCAGUUUUCAAUAUUGGAUUCUUCAACUUUUGGAUGUAGUCUAGUGUAUCUGCAAGGGCUGUAGCAGGGUUCUUCUUGUGGAGAAAGAUCACCGAGAGUGAAUUGCUAAACCUUGGUGAUAGGCCUAUGAAACUAGUAUUCAUUACGGAUAUCACAGUGCCACCUGUGCCUAUCCGCCCUUCCAUUUUUGUUGGUGGUGGAGAAUGAGGUUUGGAGCGCAACUCCGUCAGUGGUGGCCGAGAGCAGCGAAUAAGCGCAUGAGGGGAGCGUGUCGAGGUCCAGGUUGCCAUUGGCCGCCUGCCCCACCAUCCUCUAACUGGCGAGUUUAUUCCUCCGUGUGAUGCUCCCUGUUAAUCAUAAUUUGGAUUAUGUUGUAUUUUUUUCUUCGCAAGUGAUUCUUCCUUGGAGUUCAUGUUCUAUCUCCAUCGAGCUUCAAAUUUCAGAGAUGGCUAUUCCAUGUAGCAUGCGAGCUCUCGGACAAGUGAAUUUGAUUCUCACGAAGGUUGUUUAUUCAUUCCAGGGGUGUGAUAUUACAGCAUGGAUUAACUGA